UGACAGGCUAGGGGUUGAGCCCAGCUAUCAUGAAGACGACGGAAGAGCCGCUUGCUGUCUUCGCCAAUGUGCUGGGCUUGUCGCUCUUCUGGAGUGUCAUUUCUAUCACUAAGCGGUGUCAGCCGCCGGCCAAAGAAGCGGGAGAGGAAGUGUCACUUUGUUCGCAGCAGGUAUCCAGGACAUAGUCUGAGGGUUGAUAGUUGGCCAUGUCUGCCUGAGAGCGUGAGGAGCCUUCGCACUUCACACUUCGCCUCACCCCUUCCACCUUUUUACAACAUACAGAGCCAAGGCCAAGGGAGGAAGCCAAGUCAGGUAGAGAGCCCUACCUGAAACUGAAUCAGCUGGAAACUUGAUCUUGGACUUCUGCCUUCCAAAACUGUAAGAAAAUAA
rnacentral:lncRNA from 1 species